rnacentral:rRNA from 1 species
UAAUUGAAGAGUUUGAUCAUGGCUCAGAUUGAACGCUGGCGGCAGGCCUAACACAUGCAAGUCGAGCGGUAACAGGGGAAGCUUGCUUCUCGCUGACGAGCGGCGGACGGGUGAGUAAUGUAUGGGGAUCUGCCCGAUAGAGGGGGAUAACUACUGGAAACGGUAGCUAAUACCGCAUAAUCUCUCAGGAGCAAAGCAGGGGAACUUCGGUCCUUGCGCUAUCGGAUGAACCCAUAUGGGAUUAGCUAGUAGGUGGGGUAAUGGCUCACCUAGGCGACGAUCCCUAGCUGGUCUGAGAGGAUGAUCAGCCACACUGGGACUGAGACACGGCCCAGACUCCUACGGGAGGCAGCAGUGGGGAAUAUUGCACAAUGGGCGCAAGC